AUUAGAUACCCGGGUAGUCCACGCUGUAAACGUUGGGCGCUAGGUGUGGGGGGCCUCUCCGGUUUCCUGUGCCGUAGCUAACGCAUUAAGCGCCCCGCCUGGGGAGUACGGCCGCAAGGCUAAAACUCAAAGGAAUUGACGGGGGCCCGCACAAGCGGCGGAGCAUGCGGAUUAAUUCGAUGCAACGCGAAGAACCUUACCUGGGUUUGACAUCACUCGAAAACUCGCGGAGACGCGGGGUCCUUCGGGGCGGGUGACAGGUGGUGCAUGGCUGCCGUCAGCUCGUGUCGUGAGAUGUUGGGUUAAGUCCCGCAACGAGCGCAACCCUCGUUCCAUGUUGCCAGCGGGUUAUGCCGGGGACUCAUGGGAGACUGCCGGGGUCAACUCGGAGGAAGGUGGGGAUGACGUCAAGUCAUCAUGCCCCUUAUGUCCAGGGCUUCACGCAUGCUACAAUGGCCGGUACAAUGGGCUGCGAUGCCGUGAGGUGGAGCGAAUCCCAAAAAGCCGGUCUCAGUUCGGAUCGGGGUCUGCAACUCGACCCCGUGAAGUCGGAGUCGCUAGUAAUCGCAGAUCAGCAUUGCUGCGGUGAAUACGUUCCCGGGCCUUGUACACACCGCCCGUCACGUCACGAAAGUCGGCAACACCCGAAG
rnacentral:rRNA from 1 species